GGCCGCGUGUACUGUUGCGACCCGCAAGAUACGUGGGUGCAGGAGCUGAUGGCCAACAUCGACAAGAAAGCCGUCAAACACGUCAAGAAAACCGCCCCAAAGCGCCAAAAGAGUCGCUUGAUCAGCUGAGUGAGGCCUCACCCUCCUGGAGAAAAAGGCAAUCGACGUUUUGACUUUCACUGUUGACUUUUUUUUUGCAUUCACUGGACUUUUUAUUGUGACGACGCGUGACCAUGAUGUGACGAAACAGUGUUUACGUGCAAAUGGAAACCAUAAAAUGUGAAUCUGAACUGUGUGUAGCAUGAGCGCUUGCUUAAACAUUGUGACAAUAAAACUGCUUAGCCAUUCAAA